UUGUAAGAUAGAAUAAUUGUGUACGUUAAUAACGAAGAUGUAAUCUGAUUAUAACAUCGUGUUUGUUUAUAUGCAAUAUAAAAGAACCUGAUGAAACAACUCAGGUUCUUUUUUGA
rnacentral:sRNA from 18 species